rnacentral:lncRNA from 1 species
CCAUGUUCUCCUUCAAAUCUGCAAUGGCGUUACGGAGUUCUUGCAUCUCUGCUGCGUGCUCGCGUUCACGUUUCUGCAUUAGUUUCAGGAUCUGCCGGAGGUCAUUUGAAGGGGAAGACUCAGCCAUGCUCAAUGAAAGCACCAGUUGUUAUAAGCCAAUGAAACAGUGUUAAGAAACAGAGCAAUAUGCACCAAGAAAUUUUAGUAUAUGCACGUAUUAUUUCUCACUAUGAGUUCAAAUGGUAUCACAGUAUAUGGGAAAAAACAAUAUAAACACUGCAACACGAAAGUUAUCAGCAAUGGAAGGAAUACUCUAGAGAAAGAGAGAAGAAUUUCCAAUCAUUUCUUGUUUCCAUUGCCUAACUAAAUUCCCUUUUGUAACCAUCUUUUCCCCACACAAAAUCCUUCAACCGUGUAUUCUCCUUUCUCUCCCUCACGUGUCUGUGUCUGCCACUAUCUUCUGUAGAUGGUGCCAUGUGGCCAUGUGACUCAUCUUUGUCCUCCAUUUCCUUUUCCCAUUUUGCCCCUGCAGUGACCCAUUUAUUUCCACUCGUUACACCACCUCAAUACCCUAAUGCUAAAUAACA